CGCUGCUGUUUUAAAGGAAACCAUAUAUAAAUUCGUUGAUAUUUUUGUUUUUCUAAAUAAAACAGAACUUUUUUCUUUCUUACUCCUUUCAAGAGACCUUUGAGACUAUAUUUACAGACUUUAGCAAGGAAGUCCAAACUAUUUUAACUCUGAGCCAGACUAGAAAAUUCACGGAGAAAUUUUUGACAGAGGAUGUGGAAAAAGCGCUGUAAUAGGAUUUUCAAUGGUUGGUUCAAGACAACGCCGCCGAAAGGAAGGCGAAUGGGGUUGAGGGAAAGAGCCGCGCCUUCUCAGUGUCUCUGAAGUCACAAACAUAAGCACUGAUGUAAUCGGCGAAGAUAUUCAGGGGUGGAAACUGAGGUAGCCCAGCAGUACCGGAAUUACAUAGUAAAUCUGGUAUGUUUUUUGAGGGUGGUAGAAAAGGGCUACAGAGGUUUGCAGAAGGGCAAGGUUGUGGUGGCACCCCGCUAGGUAUUAAGUCUCAUUUAACAGCACUUGCUGUGUGUCACUCAAAUUCUAACUUGGGAACCGAAGGAUUUCAGCCCGAGUUGGAGAGGCCAGAAUAAGUGAGAUACGCUCUUUCAUCCUUGGUCAGGCUACUGGUUUCAUCACCUGGAGACAAGUUGAAAGAAACCUCCUGCAGCGUCAGGAACUAUCUCUCUACAUGUGCCUGGGGUUUCCUUCGUGUUUUUGGAACUUUCAAGAUCACUGACGCCUAAUAAACUUUUAACGAAUAUAUUAGCAGUUAAAUGAAUCAGCAAGUAACGAUUUUGUUGAUUCUAAAACUGACGCUGGCGCGAGGAAGUGUUGGAAUUCCAGUGUUACUCUUAAUGUAUUCAACGGUUAAAGACCGAAGUACCACCAGGAGCUUCGAUGUUUUUCAUUCUUCUAGUCCUCAAGAGGUUUUAUCCUAGGUGUCAAGAACUGAGGCUUCUACUUGCUCAAAAAUCACCUGAAAGUAAACUCUCUGAUACAGUUCCUGCAGUAACACAUCCUCUUCACCGGUCGCAAGGAAUUACAUUCUGGCUUUUGAGGAUCCCUCUUGCACAUUCUGACUGGUGUUUAUAUACCUCCGAAGUUCACAUGUAAAGCCAUACCAAGGGAAUGAACUUGUCAUAUAUGACAUCAACACCGGAAGGAUUACCCUUUUUUCUCCUUCAGAUAAAUGGGAGCUAAUCUUCUAACAUUCCUGUACUCUGUCCUGAGGCUUGUUGGUAGGCAGAGCUCUUCAUGCUGUCCUGACUCUAACAGCACCAGCCUGGGUACUUGCUCUUUCUUUUGUAACGAAAACCAAAUACUAUUGAAGAAAAUCUGCACCUGGGACUAGAGAAAUCACAUUUUUUGCUAGUAACACCUAAGAUUAAAAUCUGUUCUUCUACCCCA